UACGAAGGGGGCUAGCGUUGUUCGGAAUCACUGGGCGUAAAGCGCACGCAGGCGGAUCGUUAAGUCAGGGGUGAAAUCCCGAGGCUCAACUUCGGAACUGCCUUUGAUACUGGCGAUCUUUGAGUCCGGGAGAGGUGAGUGGAACUCCGAGUGUAGAGGUGAAAUUCGUAGAUAUUCGGAAGAACACCAGUGGCGAAGGCGGCUCACUGGCCCGGUACUGACGCUCAUGUGCGAAAGCGUGGGGAGCAAACAGG
rnacentral:rRNA from 1 species